CUGGGCAUUCGGGGAAAGAGCUAUCCUACAAUUAUACUCGCCCAACCAAUACUUACUGAUGCCCGCGACGUACUAAGGGACAAAGCACAAAACUGGAACCACCUUGUACCCUGCCUGCCUUCAAGUCCUCCGAAGAUUGAGAUUGGACUUCUCCGUUCCCAGGAACCUCUUCUUGACCACACUUUGCUUGUCCUAUUUAGUUUGUGGUUUUCUACAUAAGGCAUCAGUUCAGCCUUGGAUGAAUUGAGAUUGAUAUUCAGCCUCCUCCCUCCCCUGCUGUCCAUUUUAGUGACAUUUUGGUCAUAUAAUCAUUAAAGGUGAAAUUAUUUUUAACAUGUAUUCUUCUUAAAAUUUUA